AGUGAACGCUGGCGGUAGGCCUAACACAUGCAAGUCGAACGGCAGCACAGUAAGAGCUUGCUCUUACGGGUGGCGAGUGGCGGACGGGUGAGGAAUACAUCGGAAUCUACUUUUUCGUGGGGGAUAACGUAGGGAAACUUACGCUAAUACCGCAUACGACCUACGGGUGAAAGCAGGGGAUCUUCGGACCUUGCGCGAUUGAAUGAGCCGAUGUCGGAUUAGCUAGUUGGCGGGGUAAAGGCACACCAAGGCGACGAUCCGUAGCUGGUCUGAGAGGAUGAUCAGCCACACUGGAACUGAGACACGCUCCAUACUCCUACGGGAGACAGGAGUGGGGAAUAUUGGACAAUGGGCGCAAGCCUAAUCCAGCCAUACCGCGUGGGUGAAGAAGGCCUUCGGGUUGUAAAGCCCUUUUGUUGGGAAAGAAAAGCAGCAGGUUAAUACCCCGCUGUUCUGACGGUACCCAAAGAAUAAGCACCGGCUAACUUCGUG
rnacentral:rRNA from 1 species